CUCAGACACUAGAAUGCCGGAGUGGGUGGGCAGAAGGCCAAGGAAAGUGUCCUCACUGCCCUGGACUGGACAACCGACUGGGAGACUUUUAAAAUCGGCGAAGGGUGCCAGGAAACUGCCUUGCUCAUACAGAAUGGACCUCUUGUGAACCUGGUGCUCAUCAAAGGCUGCACAGCAGAAGAAGACCACAAGCCUCAAAUGACUCGGCAUAGGCUGAGCCCCAGCCUAUCCAUCGUGUCUUAUAGCCAUGUGUGCCGCCACUGGGACUUCUGCAAUGACCUGUCCUCCACCCACCCUCUCUGGCUCCCACCACCACCUGUCGAAGGCCUGGGGAAUGUGAGCUGCCCAUUCUGCCUUUCUAAAGAUGGCUGUCCUCAGAACGGACCCAAGCAGGUCUGCCCUGUAGGCAGUUCACACUGCUACAGUGGAGUCCUCAGUCUCAG